GUGGGGAAUAUUGCACAAUGGGCGAAAGCCUGAUGCAGCAACGCCGCGUGAGUGAUGAAGGUCUUCGGAUUGUAAAGCUCUGUCUUUUGGGACGAUAAUGACGGUACCAAAGGAGGAAGCCACGGCUAACUACGUGCCAGCAGCCGCGGUAAUACGUAGGUGGCGAGCGUUGUCCGGAUUUACUGGGCGUAAAGGGUGCGUAGGCGGAUGUUUAAGUGAGAUGUGAAAUACCCGGGCUUAACUUGGGUGCUGCAUUUCAAACUGGAUAUCUAGAGUGCAGGAGAGGAGAAUGGAAUUCCUAGUGUAGCGGUGAAAUGCGUAGAGAUUAGGAAGAACACCAGUGGCGAAGGCGAUUCUCUGGACUGUAACUGACGCUGAGGCACGAAAGCGUGGGUAGCAAACAGGAUUAGAUACCCUGGUAGUCCACGCCGUAAAACGAUGAGUACUAGGUGUAGGAGGUAUCGACCCCUUCUGUGCCGCAGUAAA
rnacentral:rRNA from 1 species